GCCUACGGCCAUCCCACCCUGGUAACGCCCGAUCUCGUCUGAUCUCGGAAGCUAAGCAGGGUCGGGCCUGGUUAGUACUUGGGAUGGGAGACCUCCUGGGAAUACCGGGUGCUGUAGGCU
rnacentral:rRNA from 7 species